UUAUACCCAAACAACUUGAAGUUGCAGGUAGGCGGCAAAUGAGUGAAUCCCCAUGAGCAUAGAUACGCUAUGUGAUUGGGGUGAACGAAUGCAGCCAACACCGCUGCAGCUUCAAGUAGGAAGGG
rnacentral:antisense_RNA from 18 species